UACGUAGGGUGCAAGCGUUAAUCGGAAUUACUGGGCGUAAAGCGUGCGCAGGCGGUUGUGCAAGACAGAUGUGAAAUCCCCGGGCUCAACCUGGGAACUGCAUUUGUGACUGCACGGCUAGAGUGUGUCAGAGGGGGUAGAAUUCCACGUGUAGCAGUGAAAUGCGUAGAUAUGUGGAGGAAUACCGAUGGCGAAGGCAGCCCCCUGGGAUAACACUGACGCUCAUGCACGAAAGCGUGGGGAGCAAACAGG
rnacentral:rRNA from 1 species